AUCGACUUCCGGUUCACGUUGGUGACCCGUAGAAGACGACGACAAGCUGGUCAUAGAAAAGCACUAUCUCGAACAGUUUCGCCCCUUUACUUGUUUGAGAACAUGGAACGACCUCCCCAACAUGGCCGCCACGUAGGCACGCUGGCGUCUUCAUAUCUAUGUCCACGAACGUAAGCGAGCCUUCGGAGGAGAUUGUCUAACACUACGGAUAUUCUUUCACCUCUUUGACUGAACCAGUGGAUAUAACUGUCCGUGGUUGUUCCUGGGAAACAUAUCAAACAUUUGUACACGGUGCAGUCUUGGAGCCCCCCAGAUCUUUUUGCUGUAAUGGGCAAAAUAAUCUCCCGCAUGAUAGGCACACGUCGCAAAGAAGUAUGCCAACUGACAGGUUCCUCUGAGGUGUUUCUGUUUUUUAGAAUUGCAUCGCCAGCCAGACCAAGGAACUGUGCUGCAUCGUAUUGAGAGCUGUCCUGAUUUCUUACCUCUCUCAUCUAGCUGAAUAAGGUGUACCAAAUGUGGUGGCCAGAGAGAAGGAUGACACAUUGCUUUUAAAUUAGACCCCCCCCUUCCCAUUUCAAUGAUGACGAAUGUAAAGUAAACUGUGUUCAGCCUCUGACUGACUCAUGAAUUAAAUGGAAAUAUCCAGCAAAAUAAAAAAUUAGCACUCCUCCAUCUAAGGUGACUUGACUGAAUGUAUUUCCGCCCCCUCUCCGUGCAGCCUUGACGCGCGGUCCGAUGCAAGAAAAGCAAAUGCACUCGAUGAUGGGAGGUGAAGGCAGAAAAAUGGAGUUUGAAUAGUAAAACUGAAUCAUUUCCCUCCCGGUAGAGAGCAACCACUUGAGCUCCUCCAAUGUUCGGCAUCAGGGCCAGUUGCCCAUUCACAAACAUGCACAAAGAAAUGAUGUAGUGUGCAAAGAAAAUACAUUCAUAUUCAAUCCCUUUUUAUUUUCCAUUUGCUAAAAAACAUAAAACAUUUUUUUUUAAAAACAAAAAUAAAGAGCCGAAAGGAUUCUGAUAGGGCUCAAGGUGAAUGAAAAGUGAUGUCAAAAUCUUUUUGACUGUGCCUUUUUUUCGGAUGUGAUGAAAUUAUUGCAGUUAGACUGACAAUAAAAGAAAAAAAUUAAAAUACAGGAGAAAAGUACCAUUGAGAUGAAAUUGCCAUUGUUGUAGAACGAUCGUAAAUGUAUAAAUGUAUGUUUAGAAUGUUAUCGAGUUGUACUUGAAAACAUGAAUUAUUCCUGUAAUCCAAAUAGAUUUUUGUAACCUUGCGGUUUUUUUUUGUUUGUUUAUUUUUGUCGGAACCUUACGGGUUUCCUAAACACAAAUACUACCUUGUAACGUCCUCCUUAGUUCCCCCCCCCCCCCACACACACACACAAUUCUAAUUCAACACUGACACCAUUGCUGUUAUUGAGUUUAAUUUCAUAAGAUUGCAGCUUCAAAUUUUGUAAUGUGACGCUUUGUUUCUUGUAAAAAUGACAUCUUUUUGCUCUAAACUUUAUUUUUCUCGCAACACAUUUGACUUCAUAAAAAAUAAAAAAAAUCAAUUCAAAGAAAAAUAUUCAUCUGCUCCUGUAAUAGUCUUUCAUUAUUCAUGACUUCGUUUGCGUUAGCGUAAGACUUUGUAGUCAUACGAUUACACAUUUUCGAAUCCAAAAGACUUUUUGCAUUCAUCAUUUUUCAUUCAUCAAAACACCUUGACUUUCUGAAAAAUAGAAUUUUGUAUGACUCGUUUCUUGUAACAUUAGUUAUUUUUCAUAACUACUACUUUCUAUUCUUAUGUCCAACUUCACUAUUGUAACCUUCCGAAUAUUUUCUUGUCGCAUUACUUUGACUUUAUACUUCAUAGUUCCUUCCAACUUUUUUUUUUUAUCAUCACAUUAUGACUUAGUAAUGUGACGUAAUCUAACUCUUUUAUCUUUGCCAUUUUUUUGAACGUAACAUUAUAAAUGUAUACUUGUAACAUUCCGAGUUUUUUUCUCCUUUAUUGCUGUAAUAGUGCAACUUUAUUCUUGUACCCUUACAACGUCUUUCAUGUAAUAUUCCAACUUCAUCUCGCGACAUUGUGCAGACUUCAUUCUUGUAACGUAACAUUUAUCUUUUAAAAUUGUGACUUUUGUCCCUCCCAACUUCUUGUACCCUUGCAAUUUUUUUUCAUGUAACAUUAUGACAUCGUGCCUUUAAUAUCGUGGGGGUUUUCCCCCCCAAAAAAUGUAUUUUAUUCCUAUAAUGUUAUGUUAUCCUCAAACCCUUGCAACUUUUUUUUUAAUAUACAUGACAAUGUUAUUCUCGUAAUGUUGCCACUUUUUCCCUCCUAACGUUAUGACAUUUUGCAUGGAUAAUGUGAUUUUAUUUUUUCUUCCAAAAAUGUAAUCAAUCUUUGUAAUAUUACCACUAUAUUAUUGUGCAAUUAGUUUUUCCAAGUAUCAUUGCAACUUAAUUCUCAUAACAAAAUGACUUUUUUUUUCAUGUUACCUAACAACUGACAUUUCUCUCCCCAAAUUGUGCUUUUUUUUUUUUUUUUAAUUAUUUUUUUUUUAUAAACAUUGUGUUCUCUUAGCAUUACUUUUUUUCUUUUAACAUUGUAACAUAAAAAUACUUUUUAUUCUCAUAGCAUUAUCACUAUUCUUGUAACCAAACAACCUUUUCCUCGUAACGGCACAACUUUUCUCCCUGACUUAUGACUUAACCUUGUGAAUUUUUUUUUUAUGUAAUAUUGUAAUUAUUUUCUUGAAACGUUGCCACUUGUUUCUAUUAAAAAAAAAAAAAAAAAACACUUUAUUCCUAUAAUAGUACAACUUUAUCUUUGUAACAUUAUGACUUUACGCUUUACCAACUUCUUUGUGAAAACACCAUGACUUUUGGCCUCUGAAUUCUGAUUUUAUCUUGUGACAUUUUUGCACAUAACAGUGUUAUUCUGUUUAUGUAGCAAGACAACUUUUGAAAGUAUCAUUCCAACUUUUUUCCUAAAGAAUAUAUACCACUUUAUGCCUGCUAUAGGAAAGUUUCAUUUUCAUAAGACACUCGUAACAUUAUGACUUCAUACUCAUAACAAUACGAUUUUAUCCUCAAAAAAUGAUACUUGUAAUAUUCCGCCUUUAUUUCCUCUUCCAACAUUUUUCUCGCAAUAUUGCAACUUUUCCCCCCCCCCCCCCACCCCAACAUCUGAGGCGUAUGAGAAACGUUGCAGGACUGGUGCCAGCAAAGAUGUAUUUCAAACCCAAACGACAGACUGGCGGUUCAGCGCGGGCCAGACCAUCAACUCGCGCGUCCACAAAGAGCUUUGCUUCGUUCAGUGCGCGAGAAGAGCCGAGAGUUGUGGCGGGGAAAACUCCCGGCUGCUUCACCGUGGCUAUCGUUCACAAUGCCAUGAGCAUCCGGCACUUCCUGGGCCAAGAAGAACAUCGGGGGUCGUCAAGGGGACCCGUGUUGAAGACGUCGUUGUCCAGGAGCGCACGCGGCUGUGGCAGAGAAUGCUGGGAAAUUGCGUUUGACUCAAGGGGAGGAAAAAUUUGAAAUGCAUCUUUUGUGACACCAGUCCUGGAACUUUUUUUUUUUUUUUCCUCAUGACACUACAUUUCUCUGCCCGAAUAACUUUAUGUUGUGACGUCGUUGUUGUGACAAAGCUGUAUUCUGUAGCAUUACAGCUUUUUUUUUUUUUUUUUUUUUUUUGUAACGUUGCAAUCUUUUUCUCAUAAAAAUAUUCCUGUAAUAUGAAAGUUUUUUUCUCUCUCUCAUAGCCUUAUGAUUGUAUGGUAGUAAUUGUUUUUGUUCCUGUGUUUAACUCUGUUCAGCUGAUAUUACAAAUUUAUUCUCACACCCUUACAACUUUAUUCUUGUAGCAUUAUGACAUUAUUCUCAGAAAGUUUUUUCCCCCCACUAAAUUACACUUCUGACAAUUUAUUUUAUUGUAUUUUUUUUUUUUAAGUAUACCACUUUCCCCCCUCUAAUUUAUUUUCGUGGUAUUUUCCGUAACCAAUUGGUGGGAUGCAGAUGCGUAGCGUUUCCCCCCGAACCCGUGUUCACUAGAAGACCUUGGAGACAAGACUGGAAAACCUUUUAAUAGGAAGGCCUUUUCCUCUCCCACUUCUUUCCAUAGUUGCAUCUUCCACCUUUCCCCUUUCAGGGCCCGUCUCAGACAGAGAAAAACAUUGGCCAUCUAUUCAAAAGGCAUUUAGUCCAUUUCUUUCUUGGCCGGUAAACCCAUUCAUCAAUUGUUCUGGUCUGGAGAUGGCAUUCUAAUGCUAAUCUGGCGUGUUAAAUAUCUUUUUGCCCCCCUCCUCUCCUCGCCAUCUUCUUUCACCGUUUUGUCAUUCAGUUUAGCCAGUUUUGGCCACCCAUUUUAUUUAUUUAUGCGCCUGCUCCCAUUCAUGCGCUCAUGUAUUUUUUAUUAUGUUGUUUCACUGUCAUGCAGUGUCAACUCACUCCAUUCAGUGUGGGCUACUUGAAGGGCUUGCGGGGACAAAGCGUGUACACAUUGCACCGCUAUUCACUCCGUCCAGCUGGAUCGCUUGAGAAGAGAGAGAGAGAGAGAGAGAGAGAGAGGGGGGGGGGGGGGGGGCGCAAAAACCUUGUGAAAAGAAAUCCUGCACAAUGGACACAGAAGAAGUGCACAAUGCUAACAGUUUUCCAAAUACCGCUGAUUGCGUUCGUCACAAUGAGCGAGAGCGGCCGCUUUUCUCCGAGCUCCACUUCAACAAACAACGCGCGCACAAAACCUCCCAACCGGCGUUUUGUGCGCAAACAAAACCUCCUCGACCGUCUAAACGCUCCCACAGAAGACAGAAUGGGGGGGCGGGGCGGGGCGGGGCGGG